UUUGUGUUUUCACUCUUUUAUCUGUGGAAUAAUCGCGGAGAGUGAUUCAUUAGAAGUUUGCAUAUUAACUUAAGUAAUGUGGAGAUUUAAAAUUUGUGCACUGUACUUGUCUGUUUAAGGUAAUUGUAUUUGGGAUUAAUUGGAGUAUUGAAAUGAUGAUCAAAUGUGAAAUGACACGUUCACGUUACAAUGACCGAUGUUUAUUCACAACAUUGUCACUGUCAGGCCAGAUAACCAUGCCCAUGUUUGACUUGUGUCAGUGACCAUGUGAUUCAAGGCUUCCAUUGCUGUGGAGUGCAUUGAACGACAUCAUGGCCUAGAAGAACAUACCCGGGGAUAAUACCAGCAGCAACAAGUACCACGCAACCGCCAAAAUGCCUGCCGCCAUUUUGAAGCAUGUCUGAGUGAACCGAUGGUUUCCAUGGAUUCCAUGAAGAUUCAAUUGAUUUGUUGGUUUUUAAUUGUCCAAUUAUUUUUAAAAAUAAACAUUUUGGUGAA